GGAUGUGAGAGCAAUCUGGCUGUAAUAUCUGUCACCCCAUUGAUCGCCAGGGUUGGUUAGGCUGAUCUGGCUGGCUAGGAGAAUAUCCCCUUCCUUGCUCACUGCUCCAUGUGCGUCCCUCCCGAAGCUGCUAGCUGGGUCAAAGAGGAUAACCUUCCCCUAAUAGAGAUGGACCUGUCUUUGGUCAAGGGUAUAUGAGUAGCUGCACUCCCCUACUAAGAGCUCCAAACAAGCUUUCAAGGAAGAGGGAUCUGGAAGAAUAUCCGUGGAACUGUGUAUUGAUUCCCUUCCUCCAACUCCUCAAAGUCUGUUGCCUUUCCAGGAAAUGAGG
rfam:Erinaceus europaeus unplaced genomic scaffold scaffold00019, whole genome shotgun sequence